AAUAAAACUAAAGACUAUAUCUUUAUGUUAUUCAAUUCAAGUUGUUGUUGUUGAUGUUGAUGAUCAUCAUAAUCUAUUCAAAAACCCUAACAAAUGAAUUACAAAUUGAUGUUGUGAUAGUGAUUCUUUAAGUUUUCUUAUUUCACACUGUGUGUUCUGUUGAUCAUCAAUUCAAGUUGUUGUUGUUGUUGUUGUCUUUUUUUUUUUUUUUUUUUUUUGUAAUUAUAGUGAUAAAGAAACAAGAAGAGAAGAGAAUAGUAUCGUCUCUGCCAAACAUAGAUGAAUCUUCUGUAUAGAAUCUUCUCUGAUGGAUCUUGCAAUUUAUGUUUGUUUUCAAUUUCUAGGGUUUCGUAUGACUGAUUGCAUUGUUAUAAUUGUUUGAAUUGAGUGAAUUUCUAAUGAAACUCUGAGAAGAAGAAUAAGAAUGGAUAUAUCGCAAAACUCAUCAGCAAGUGCAGCUAACGCUAAUGGUGGAAUCACUCAAACCAACGAUCAAGAUGAAUCAAAGCAGAAUCUCAAUCACGUUAUUAACUCCAUCGAUAAAACCCUUGGCCUUCUUCAUCAACUUCACCUUACAGUUUCUUCUUUCAAUGUUGCAUCUCAACUCCCUCUUCUGCAACGAGUGUAUGUGCUUUUUAUUGAUUCCAUAAGUUUACCCUUUCAAUGUUUUAUUACAAUUUCUUAUAAGUAAUUCGGUUUUCUAAUUUGGGGAUUUCUUGAUUUAAGGGUUUAUGUUUUUUUUUUUUUUUGCAGAAAUUCUCUGGUAACAGAGCUGGAUACGAUGCAGAGAUUAGCUGAUAAUUGCAAUAUUCAAGUUCCAAUGGAGGUUGUCAAGUAAGUUAUUCAUUUUAUUUUGAAUUUCCCUCAUUUAUUGUGCGGUGCGGGUUUGCAUGUUAGGGAGUGGAGUUGUUUUUUUGCCUAUUGAUUUUUGUUUGUGUCUUUGAUUGGUGUUUUAGUUUGAUUGACGAAGGGAAGAAUCCGGAUGAGUUUAAUAGGGAUGUUAUCAAUAGUUGCAUAGCCAAGAAUCAGAUUACCAAAGGCAAAACUGAUCAAUUCAAGGUAGGGUUUUAUUUAUUUAUUUUCCUUCUUAUCACAGUUUUGAUUAAUGUAUUGAUCUUUGUUAAAUAUCUGCAAUUUGGUCUAUCUAAUUAAUGUAUAGGCAGGCAAUUGAGCAUUUCAUAUAUGUACUACUGUUUGUUUAUUGAACACGUCUGUUUGAAUUGGUAGAUGUGCAAUCCAGUCCUAUGUUGGUGCUUGAAAUAGAAUUAGAAUAGCCUGGUGGUCCUUGACAGCAACAUACAAGCCAUUCCCACAUUUUAUGAAAGCUCUUGCCCAUGUUAGUGAUAAUCUGUAAUCUGACUAAUGAGGCGUAUUGGUGCUUUGUAGCCAUGUGCUUCUUAAUGGGGUGUCUUAAUUAUAAAAACCUAGCCAUAAUCUGAGACAGAUUUAAGGGUUCAAUGAAGGGUGAGUGGAUUUUUUCGCAUCGAUCAAUAUCCCUCUACAGUAGAUGGUCUUGUUAGUAUUGUUUUAGAAUGCGAUGUUUUCAAUUAAUAAUGAUAUGGCAUAAUAUUUAUAUUUUCUUUCUCUUUCUGAUUACAUCAUCUAUUUAAUAUAGUACGCAUUGAAUAAACAAAAGUAGGUCCAAUCUAAUUAAGCAACCGACUAAUGUUAAUUUUAUUUACUCGCUAUAGGAUGUAACAAUUAUGAAUUGUUUUUUUAUCCGAUGUUUCUGUUUGCUGCUUUGAAUCUGAAAUGACCAAGACUUGUUGAUCAUCUUUUUGUCAUAAGUCCUUAUAUUCAUGAACACUCUCUAUCGUUAUUGGCUCGAUCUAGUGAUUUACCUGCCUUAAUAAACGUUUCCUCUUUUUUCAAAGGGUUUACGCCGACACCUUUUGGAGGAACUCGAUCAAGCAUUCCCUAAUGAAGUGGAAGCUUACAGGGAGAUACGUGCAACUUCUGCUGCUGUAAGUCGAAUUAAGUCUUAAAUCAGUUCUGCAACACUUCAGUCACCUAUUAUAAUGUGCAAAAAUAUCAGUGCUGCUCUGUUCUUCUCCAAAUAUUGAAGUGAAAAAAAAAACAAUACAAAAAAACAUUGUUUAUUUUCUUGUACUUGCUGAUGAAAAAGAAAUGAAUAACAAGUCACAGGACGAAGUGGUUGGGUCAGGACUCCAUAUUCAAUCUUUGGGUUGAGUAUGGGCCGGGCUCAGGAAAGUCCCCGGGCUGCAAUCCGUAGGCCAAUCAAAAAGAUGAAAAAGAAAUGAAUUUUUAGUUUCUCAUGCAGGAAUCAAAGAGGCUUGCACAAGCACAGAGCAUUCUACCAAAUGGAGAUGUAAAAGUCAAGGCCGAACAUUAGCUCCAUGCUGUUUUUCAUGGUUUAAAUUACCAUGAAAACAUUGUUUUGUAAAAGUCAAGGCCGAACAUUAGGUAUCUUUCGUUCUGUAUGACAUACGAAGCACUGUUAGGUUUGCAAGUUAUUUUUUACUAAAAACAUUGUUUUGUAUGAUUUGUCUGCAUAAAUUUGUUUGAAAUUUUGUAAUACUGAGAUAUGUUGUAACUUUUUUUACUCGUUGUUAUAUAUAUAUACGAAAAUUUGUCAGAUUCAACUCUUUUAAGUCCAUUUUGUAGAACCUGAUGAUAAAAAGUGUAUUUGUUUGGAUGUCAAGUCAAAAGUUGUUUCCAGAGGAGAUAACUUAGCUUCAGUCUGAAGAAAUUAUUGAAGUACUUUGUUUCCUUUUUCCGCUUCAGGUGACAGUGGAGUUUGAAUCUGAUUUACCAAAAUUACUACUCACGUAAGCCUCCAGUAUAGAAUUAAACGAUGAGAUCAAUGGUAUCCAAGUGGCUCAUAUGAAACUGACCAAGAAAUCUCGCCUGUUAUCCCACCAAGCCUUGUCUCCUUUCUGUAAGUAAUUCCUCUUCUAGGGCAGGCAAGCAUCAUUCACCUCCAUUUGGUUCACAGAUACGUUAAUUUAUGCAGGCUUCAUCCUUUUUGGUUAUUUGUCAUUCAAUUUUACUGUAGCACAUCCGUGAACUUCUUCUUCCUUUGCUGGAUGUGAAAGCUGUUAUUGCUGACACGUUUUCUUCCUUUGCUGGAUGUGAAAGCUGUUAUUGCUGACACGUUUUUCACUCGUAAAUAUCCCAACCCAUCUCCAGAUUUUUGGAAGCUUUUAUCCACAGCCUUUAGUUUACUGCUUUCUUACCUUAAGCAAAUUACCCACCAUAAGCCCCACCUGUGUCAAUAACAUUUGUUUUGGGGCUCUUUCUUGGCUUAGUUGCAAUUUCGAAGUUCCUAGAAUGACCUGUAAUGGAGUUUAUCAACAUCUGUUGAGUGGUUGGAAAUUAUGAAUACCUAAUUGUGUUUAAAAGAACAUAGAAAUAUAUUCCUUGAAAAAAAAAAGUUUAAGAAGAAUUGAUAUUUUAAUCACUUCAGAUUUUGAAAAGAAGUUUUCCUUUUCAUGUAUCCUAUGUUUCGUGUUCUCUUUCUAAAAUAUUUGUUGCAUGGUUUAUAAAUUAAUUAUAUAUAUUAAGAAAAUUAAAAGAAAAAGCUAAUGAUUAUAGAAAAUUUAAAGAAGUUAUUUCAUAGAUUUUGUUAGACAACCAAGAAGGAGAAACUAAUAAAAACUACUCCAAGGCAUUAUACAUCUCACAAAAAGUGUCUCGCCUGCAAGUCUAUGGAUGUGAUUUAUUUAAGAGUACAGAUAACAGAAAUCUUGAUACAAGGCAAGUUCCUGAGCUAGGUAGAAUUGUUGCUCCAGUCUACUAACGAGUGCAGCUUUCAGACUCUCUUCGGUCCUCAAUCCCUCAGGAACCCUGGCCACAAUAUCCUGUAGCAUCAGGUCCUUGACACUGGCUACACUCGCGUGCUGGACUUGCAAGUCUAGGUCUCUAAGUGCAUCCAUCAAUUUCGCAGAUGGAUGGUUCAUAUUCUCACAUUGGACUCUUGUCAUUGCAUCUGGUCCAUGAAUUCUCACCUCUACUUCCAUCUUUAGUAAACCUGCAGAUUCAGAAUCAGACCUUGGAUAGUGAUCAUGAACCAUGCCAUGUCGAUGAUGAUCCUUGCUAUUUAAUUUUUCUAUUUUUAUUUUCUUGGAAUAUUUAUGGACUUGCGUCUCUAAGUUAUCAAUCUUGGCCUUGAGCUCAUUGAUGUAGGACACUGCGUCUCCUAACAAAGAUGCUUUGUCCAUCCGUCUCCUAACAAAGAUGUUUUGUCCAUCCUUGACACAUUAGGGACCACAGCUUUGAGAGCAUAAAACCGAUGAUUAAGCUCUCCCUCCGCUCAGCCUCAACAUGGUUCAUCGGUCAUCUCUCCCAUUCCCAGGCUUUCUUCCUCUUUUCUUUGGCUUCCUCUUUUCUAGAGCCAGUGCAACAAAAGGACCAUCAGAGUUGGAGUGUUCUGAAUCCAAUGAAGAGGAUAGCCCGGUCAUUGCAACUUCCUUCUUUUGAAUUGUUCUGUUUGCUGCUUUGAAUCUGAAUUUUUUUUUAUGUAGAGGCUGGUGCCCAAGCCUCUUUAUUAUGACAGAUGAAGUAUAUACUGUAGUUUAACCAAUUGAGUUACUAUAGUUUCACGCAACAAAGAUUUCAUGUCAUUGCUAAGGGUUCCACACGUGGUACUAGCAUAUGAUAAGUCAACUUAAACUCGAUACUUUUGUUCACCCCUCUAUCACACAAUGGGGCGUCACAAUCUAUCUUCAUCCCACGUUUAAUAGUGUCGUCUUUAUGAUCGGAACGUUUCUACAUCAUAGUUUGGGGGCGAUUCCCUCUUUCACCUAAUGUAUCACAAUGGGGCGUAUUGUAUCAAUAUCAAGAGUGAUCACUCAAUAUCAAUAUCAAGAGUGAUCUCUCAUGAUCACAUCAAUUUCAAUAUCAAAAGUGAUCUCUCGUGAUCACAUCACUAUCAAUAUCAAGAGUGAUCUCCAAUGAUCACAUCACUAUCAAUAUCAAGAGUGAUCUCCAAUGAUCACAUCACUAUCAAUAUCAAGAGUGAUCUCUAAUGAUCACAUCAAUAUCAAGAGUGAUCUUUCACAUCAAUAUCAAUAUCAAGAGUGAUUUUUAAUGAUCACAUCAAUAUCAAUAUCUAUCUCAAUAGUGAUCGACAACCGAUCACAUCAAUUUCAAUAUCAAGAGUGAUCUCCAACGAUCACAUCAAUAUCAAUCUCAAUAGUGAUCGACAACCGGUCACAUUAAUACAUGAGGUGCCCCACAAUUUUGCAAUGACUACAGAAUUUGGGGACUUUAGGUACCUCCACCUCUUGAAGAAAAGAUUUUCCUUCCUCCUCCUCCACCCAAAUCUGUGAUGGAAUUGGCUUGGAGAGAUCAACAUCAACUAAAACUGACGCGUAAUAGCCGAAAGUUCUAUUGGCUGUAUGACGAUCAAUCCCAACAGGAUAACCAAUUGUUCUUCCCAACGACAUCAAAAUUUUGUAGUCCCAAUAUUGCUGCCCUAGUCUAGGAAAUUUAACCCAAACUAAAGCAUUUGAUUUCAUUUGCAAUUCUGGAUCAAACUCCGGCGACCAUUUAGAGAGCCGGAGAGUUUGAUCCCCAAAUUUCCAAGGUCCACCACACCAAAUGCGUUUCCAAUCCGCUUCACAGUCAAGACGAAUCAUAAAAAACCCUUUUCCCAAUGGAAUUAGUUUCCAGUCCCCUUGUGGUCUCCACUUCUCAAGAGCCAUGGAUCUCACAUCCUCAAGCUUGAUUUUGUUAAAAUCUAGCCUACCAAUGAGACAAAAUUUACAGUAUUGCUUUCCUCUCUCCACUGCCGCCUUUGUCAAACGAAUUGAGGGCAUGUUGCCUUUCAUUUCUGGACAAGGAAGCUCCUCCACAUCGAUGCUCUGUGGUUGUUCACCUCUCACUAUAUCUGCAAAGGAAACCCCACUAAUGCUUUCUUUCUCCUUCACUAGAAUUUGGUCUCCAAAAACUUUCUCCGAAACAGCUCCAGAGUAGAGAUACUGAUUCGGGCGUCCCCCCAAUCCAAACGGUUCAGUCGUCAUCGAAAAAGCGAGUUAGAAACCUCCGGUCAAGCUCCGUUUACCAUCUUCUUCGAUCUCCAGGUUACUAAAAGUGGAAAGAUAAUUUUUGCUGAUAAGGAUAAAGUUUUCCUCACCACACAAAAGUUACCAAACAAGGCAAAAAAGGAUCCUAUGCUACUCAGAAGCAACCAAAGUUAACUUGCUGUAGCAGAGCGAAAAAAACCUCAUCAAACACUGCGAAGUUAUCAAAAAGGAUAUUAGAAAAGAGGAGGCAGUUCAGGAAAAAACACUUGAAGAAGUGCAGAAAACUAAGAAGAAGAAGAACAAAAAAAAGAAGGGAGCAGGUGAAGGGACUAGUGGUGCCAAGGAUAACAAUGGAUGUCUAGUAAAUGAUUCUCAAAGGCCACUAACUGUUGAGGACAAUGUGGUUGAAUUAGUACAACAAGCAAUUGAUCAACAACCUACUGAAGUUGCUGGAAUAACUGUCAAUGUGGUGGCUGAUCCAGGAAAUACUACUUCAGUUGAUAUGGCUGAUCCAGUCUUAAUGGUGGAAGCUGCAGUAGAUCAUGUGGAAGAAAAUGAGAUUAUUGGGCAGAAUAAUAAUGCAGGGAGUUCUGGUGGAGCUGUGCAGAGUAGCUAUGUUGGGAGCCCCGUAGGAGUCUAUGAUGGGUUCAUUAGAGUGGAACUUUCGGCCUGUGGUGAGAGUGUCACUCCUGGCUCUACUCAUAGUAAUGCUAGAUAUGGUUCUCUACAAGGGACCCCGGGGAUAGUAAGAGAAACACAAUCCACUUCAACCAACAUGUUUGGUGUCUUGCAAGAAGCAUAACAAGUCUUGCGUAGAGUCAAUUGGGCUGACAGUGGGGAGGAAGGUAAUUGGCAGGUACAACAAUCAAAAAAGUCCCGAAAGAAAGGGGUGGAGAAAUCUCCCUCUAUCUCAGGGGCUGGAAAUUCUCAGAGUCGUAGAUCAUGACGAUAGUCUUCUGGAAUAUUAGGGGUGUGAAAAGAACCGAACCACACUCCUAUCUAGAAGAUAUUAUCGUAAAAUACAAGCCCGAUUUCUUAUGUUUAGUAGAGCCUAAAAUAAAACCUCCUAACAGGUCUCCAAUUCCUGCUAGGCUGGGGUACAGUAGUUCAAUAAUUCAUAAUGACAGUCCUGACCGGGUCGGAAAUAUUUGGGUGAUAUGGAGGGAGGGUCUUAAUGUUGCUUGUAUUGCUAAGUCAAACUAGCAAAUUACAGUGACAUGGGAUCAGGUUACCAUAUCUUUUAUCCAUGCUAGCUCUGUGUAUGGUAUUAGAAGAAGCUUAUGGGAAGAGCUCAGAAAUCUUAAGGUGAAUGGACCUUAUGCAGUUGUGGGUGACUUCAAUGUAGUGACCUCUAUCACGGAAAGGAAGGGUGGAGGUAUUCCUAGUAGAAUAGCUAUGAAUGAGUUUGUUAACUUCAUCAAUUCAGAAGCUCUUAUUGAUUCAACUACUCAGGGGUUUAAGUACUCUUGGAGUAAUAUGAAGCAUGGGAGAAGAAGGAUGGUGCAGAAAAUUGAUGCUUGUCAAUCAGCAAUGGUUGGAUGUUUUCAGUAGUUGGCGUGGCAAGGUCCUGCAUAGGAAAUUCUCAGACCAUUCUCCUAUUGUAGGGUGGUGCACAAUGGUUCCAAAGCCUCAUAACAUUCCCUUUAGGUUUAAAAAGGCCUGGAUAGGCCAUGCAACCCUAAUGAGUGUAAUUGAGAGCAGUUGGAAUGAACCUUUGUACGAUGUCCCGAUCAGAAAAGUUCUAAAGAAAUUGAAGAGACUAAAGGCAGUCCUAAAAGAAUGGAGUUGGGCAGUUUUUGGUGACUCUAAGUUGAAAAUUAAGAAUUUAGAGGAAGAGCUUGAGAUGCUGCAAACUGAACAGGAGGUGAUUCUUUUCGAUGAAGGAGUGCAGCAGCAGGAAAUAAAAAAGGAGACUGAACUGUAUGAAGCAGUUAAGGCAUACAAUACCACCAUUAGGCAGAAAGCAAGGAUUUCAGAUGCUUAUGAAGGGGAAAGGAACUCAGCCUAUUUUCAUGCCAUCAACAAGUUGCAUCUCAAGAAAUCACAAAUCUUGGAGAUUGCUACUGAUGAUGGUACAGUGUUGACUCAACAGUCAGACAUCCAGAGAUAUAUUGUUAAUGCCUUUGAACAGAAGUACAAGCUACAAAGCAUUGAGCUGCAACCUGAGUUAUUGGACCUGGUUCCAAAAAAGGUCAGCAGUGAAGAUAAUAAUAUGAUGUGUGUUGUUCCAUCAGAAGCUGAGGUUACAGAUGCAGUUAUGUCAAUGGAUCCUAACAGCUCCCCAGGCCCAGAUGGCUUCCAAGGCAUAUUCUACCAUACCUAUUGGAGUAUCAUCAGCAAGGAUAUCUGUAAGGCAGUUAUUUCUUUCUUUAAAGAUAAUAAACUGCCCCAAGGUAUGAAUUCUAGUUUCCUUGUUUUAAUUCCAAAAGAUCAAAAUGCAAGGCUUGUUAAUCACUAUAGACCAAUAUGUCUUAGUAACUUUCUUUUUAAGAUUAUUACUAAGAUCAUGUCUCUCAGGCUGAAAAAUGUGGUGGAGAACUACAUCAGCAAUGAACAACUGGCUUUUAUCAGGGGCAGGAAUGGUAACUCUGGAAUUGCAUUGACAUCAGAAAUGAUAAAUGAACUACAGAAGAAGAGAAGGGGAGGCAAUGUAGCUCUAAAACUUGAUGUGGCACAAGCUUUUGACUCAUUGAGUUGGUCUUUUCUUCUAGAAGUUUUGCGCAGAUUUGGCUUUGGGGAGAGAUGGUGUCAGUGGGUCCUCACUAUACUCAACAGCUCCAAGGUCUCAGUUUUAAUAAAUGGAGGUCCAUGUGGUUUCUUCAAUGUGCAGAGAGGUUUACGGCAGGGAGAUCCAUUGUCUCCAAUUCUGUUUGACCUAGCUGAAGAUGUAUUGAGUAGGAGGCUUAACAAUCUCUUUGAUAGUGGUCGUGUGCAGCAUAUGGCUACUGCAGGUUCUGUUGUUGGUCCUACUCAUAUACUUUUUGCUGACGACAUAGUAAUCUUUGCUAAUGGUGGGAUGAGAGGUUUGAGAAGGUUGAAAGAGUUAUUGUUAGCUUAUCAACAGAGCUCAGGCCAAAUUUGCAAUCCCUUAAAGAGUAAGUUGUUCAUGGGAGCAAUGACUUCAACAAGAAAAAAGAGAAUUGAAGACUUGUUUUCCAUUAAAGAGGGCACUCUCCCGGAAAAAUAUUUGGGAGUUCCUCUCUUUCAAGGAAGGGUCAGAAGUGAAUGGAUUCAGGUUUUGGUCGACAAAAUCAAGAAGAGGGCAAAUGCGUGGGCAGGAGGUUUACUAUCUUUUCAAGGAAGGGUGGUUCUUGCUCAAUCCAUACUUAGUAGCAUUCCCAUCUACAAUAUGGGGAUCUACAAAUGGCCAAGAAGGUGUAUUCAGGAAGGGGAGGCUGCAAUAAGAAACUUCGUGUGGUCUGGUAACCCUACUGAGAGAAGAGCAAUCACGCUCAAGUGGGAGAAGGUGUGCAAGCCUAAGGAAGAGGGAGGUUUAGGUCUUAGGAAACUAAGAGACCUAAAUCUAGCUAUGUUGAUGAAGUUGGCAUGGCAAUUACUGGAGAAGAAGACAGAAUGGAGUAAAUUUAUGUUUAACAAGUUUACAAGCAGGCAAGGAGAAUGGAUCAGCUAUCACAAAGCUUCAUCCAUUUGGCCUGGCGUCAGGUGGGCUCUAAUUGAGAUGAAACCUCAUCUUAGUUGGAUUGUGGGCAAUGGGCAUUCUAUUAAGCUAUGGCAGGACCCUUGGAUUGGAGAGGCCAUUUCUGACAGACUGCAGGGUGUUAACUGGAAGGUUUUCAAAGCAAAACUCGCUGAUAUCAUAGAAGGCAAUGAAUGGAGCAUCCCUGCUACUUUGUUGGAGGUUUUCAAUAAGCUUGGUAUUCAACAACAUGACCUUCCUCCUCUUGUACAAGGGGAAGAUAUCAGAGUCUGGAAAAGUAGUGUAGAUGGACAGUUUACAGUAAAAGAAGCAUAUGAAGCUAUAAGGAAAAAGGGUCCUACAGUGGCAUGGCACUCUUGGGUUUGGGCUCAACAUAUCCAUCCAAGAAUUGCUGGGAUGGGUUGGAAGAUCAUUCAGAAAGCUGUUGCUACUGACGACCAGGUCAGGAAACGAGGAGUUCAAGUGGUUUCUAGAUGCAGAUUGUGCUUGAAGGAAGAAGAGACUUAUGAUCACCUUUUCUGGGGGUGUGAGACCUCAAGGAAACUGUGGGACUGGUUGGCUGCAGUUUUCAAGGUCAACCUUAACUCUUAUGAGUUUGGUAAUGUCACCAAAGCAGCUAGAGGGAGAAGCUCACUGGUGAGGCAGCUUUGGAGUGCAGCAGUGAUUUCACUCAUGGUGCAGCUUUGGAAGGCAAGGAACAGAGUGCACUUUGAUGGAAUUUCUUUUGAGUUUCAUAGACUCAAAACUGAAACUCUCAAAUGCAUAAUUGUUGGCACCAGGGACAAUGUACAAUGAUUGUCAAGAUCUCCAGCUUUUGAGUAAUCUGAAUGUGAAAGGAAGGCCAAGACCUCUGCAGCUGAUCAAAGAGGUUUCUUGGAUACCACCUGAUGGUAACAUAGUGAAAAUCAAUACAGAUGGUUGCUCACUGGGGAACCCUGGACAUGGUGGAGCAGGUAUAGUAAGUAGAAAUUCAAACUUGGAAGUUCUUGGGGUUAUAGCCAAAGGCCUUGGGAUUGUUACUAGCUAUGAAGCGGAAUGCCAAGCUCUUGUGUUUGCUGUUGAACUGGCAGCAGAGAAAGAAUGGAGGGAGGUAUGGUUUGAAGCAGAUUCUAUGGCGCUAGUGCGUGCUUUCUCUAAAGGGAGGGUACCUUGGCACCUUCGUGCGAGAUGGAGGAAAGCUAUAGAGCAGUUGAUUAGUUGGAGAAUUUCACACACCUACAGGGAAGUGAAUUUUGCAACAGAUGCAGCAGCAAAGCAUGGUGCACAGAUGGACAUGGGCUCAGUUCUAUGGUCUGAACAAUGUCUUAUUGCUUUAGAAUGUCCUAGUAGAAUCUACUAUAGAUUUGCUUAAUUUGUUUGUUGGUUGAUCUAAAACAUCUCUACUGCUGUAAUAUUCUUUUAUUCUUAAUAUAAUUCCCUAUCUGUGUGCAAAAAAAAAAAACCGGUCACAUUAAUUUCAAUAUUCAAUAUGUGAUCUCCAAUGAUUAUGUGUAUAUCAAUACAUGAUUUAUAUAUAUCACACUCGUGUUUCAAGUCUACAUACGCCUGCAAACAAAUGGCCUACAUAUUUAUCAUCUUAUAGUCAUUCUUGUGGGGGCAAUGCUUUGCAUCAACGUCUUGAAUGCGGAUUCCGGUGUUUUUGUUGCAGUUUCUUUGUCUUGUUUGUCGUGCCUUUUAUUGGGCAUGGGACCUACCAGAUCGUCACCCUCGUCCGACAUGAUGGUGCUCAGACCGACCCCUUGGUCAGUAGCUAAACCAUCUGUCUCUUUGUUAGGCACACCUCCCUCCAAGCUACCUUCACCACCAGCAGCAAUCCCCUCGACAAUGCCCCCAGCUAUCUCCUCGUCCGACUUGACGAGCGGUAAUUGUUGUUCCGUUUUUUCGGUAUCUCCAUUUGGACAGUUUGUAUUGGAUUGGCCAUAACUUUCUGCUCCGAGAUCGGAAUGUCAAUCUGUUUUCUGGUUUGGAUAGAGGACUUCAUUAGAUUUCCAAUGAUAUAUAGCAUGUCUUCUGGAGAUACGAAUUUUGGCGGAAAAACGGCUCCAAAGUUCUGACAGUGUUUUGCAGGAUGCAUAGCCGCUGGAGAUUUUGGAAAAUUUGGCUAAGUAUGGAAUUGUCAUGUCCAUAGCUGCUGGACACAUGUUUGUCAUGUCCAUUAUUGCUGGAGUUUCCGGUACACUCUAGACUAUCACCUUCCCCAGCGGCUGUCUCUUCAUGUGCGGCUAUGUGCUCUGGAGCGGCUGUGUGUUCACGAGCGGUUGUUGGUUCACGAGCGGUUGUGUGCUCUCGAGCGGUUGUUGGUUCACGAGCGGCUGUGUGUUCACGAGCGACUGUUUGUUCACGAGCGGCUGUGUGUACCCCCUCAGAUUGCCUCCUGCCCACUCUUUCCCCAGCGGCUACCGACUCCUAUAGCCUUCUCCCUUGCCCGACAGCUAUGUCUCCAGCCAACCCCCUGCCUGCUCUCCAGCGGCUGCACCUCCAGCCUUCCACCUUCCCCAGCGGCUCUCUCUCCCACAACACCCUUGUCAGCCAAGUCCCCUCCCAGCUGCCCACUUGCCCAACGGCACAAGGCCCAGCUAUGCCCCUGUCUAUCUCCUCUCCAACAGCUACCCCCUCAACCAAAUGACCUUCAGCAGCCAGCUGCUCGCCAGACGUUUCCCUUCCUCCAGCGGCUGUGUUGUGCCUCCUUGGUCCUCCUCUCCACCAGCACCUAGUUGCUCGCUCAUCCUAUUCCCUCCUCCAGCAGCAACCUCCUCACCCAUGACACCAGCUGCGCCUAGUCGCUUGCCAGGUUGUGCUGGCAGAUUACCAGGUCCUUGCCCAGCAGCAGUAGACCUGGUCGGGACGCUGUACAGUUGUGUUGUCUCGGGUCUUGUCCCUCCACCAGCAGCAGUGGACCCCAUAGUGGGAUUGGGAUGUGUCUCGGGAUUGGGACUUAAUUUCCCCAGGACUUGUGUUUGCUUCUGUUGUGCUUCGCCUUUCUCAUUCAAUUCUUGGAACUCGCGUCCAAUUUCAAAGCCACCGUCACUCUCCACCUUCGGUUCCGAAUUUUUGAAUUGAUAUAUAUUCAAUUCAAUACACUUCACUAUCUCUUGUUUUUCAAGCCCAUUUCCUUUUCGGCCGGAUUUUCGUCACUCAAAUUUUAUUUCUUUCUACUCGGAUUUUUGGUCGAACCCAAUUCUCGUUCUCACUUCUUUCGCUCAAAUUAUUUUUUCAAUAAAUUUCUAUCGCCUGUUUCUUCGCUCAGUUGAGUUCAAUUUAUUUUUUCAAUAAUUUUCUAUCGUUUGUAUCCUCGCUCAGUCGCGAUCAAUUUAUUUUUCUAUAAAUUAAAAAAAAAAUUUCUUUAAAUUUUGUUAAAGAAAUUCUAACCUAAUAAUGAAAAAACUAACAAAGCAAAACUUAAUAUAAAGUAAUAGUUUUUGUUAGAUUGAGUGAUGGGAUCUAUAUGGGUGCAAAGAAACGACACCUAUAAAUAAAAACAAAGAUCAAAUUUUUUUUUUGAUUAAUGUAACAAUAUAUUUGACACCAAAAGCAAGAUUUACAAGCCUGAUCAGCACAUACAAAUGACUGUAUAUCGUCAGGUGGACUGUUAGUCAACCUCACCACUGCUCUUGCAUAAGAUGGCUCCAACCACGAAGUAGAUCAGCAAAUCUGAUGUCUUCUCUCAUCUUUAAGCCAUCUCGAUCACAGCUUAACCAGGCCCACACAGCUGCCUUAAUUGCAGCCCCAAUCUUAGCCACACUAUGGCUAUUUCCCUGAAAUAUUGCUUCAUUUCUCGCACGCCAUAUACACCACAACACUGCAUACGGCAAGAUAUUCCAGAUCUUACUUUUAACACCAUGUGCGUUCAAGGCUGGCCACCAAUUCAAUAACUGUUGUGGAUUCUCCACCGUAUGAAAUCCAGCACAGGCUCUAGCACAAACUGAAAUUAAACCCUGCCAAAUCUCCUUAGUGACUGUACAUGUAAUGAAGAGGUGUUUCGUGGACUCAGCAUCACAUUUGCAUAGCUCACAUCUGUUUGUCAAGAUCAUGCCUCUUCUCUGGAGUUUAUCAAUAGUCAAAGUUUUAUCCCACAUCAGACCCCAUAAGAAGAACUUGACGUUCAUAGGCACUUUCGGCUCCCAGACUACUCUGUAAGGAAACUCAAAUGGUUCGGAAGAUCGCCUUCGACCAAUGCUCAUUAGACUUGAGUAGCAAGACUUCACCGUGAAAACAUUAUCCCCUGUCAGAACCCACUCCCAAACAUCCUCCCCAUCACUAAGAGAAACACCCUCAAGAAGUUCCUGAAGAUGGUUCAACUGGGUAACUUCAAUUCCACGAAAAUGUGACCUCCUCAAGUGGAGCUCCCAAGUCCCCUCCUCACCACAAUGAUAUUUCACCGUACCCUCCUUCCUAGAAGCAUACUUGUACAAUCUGUGGAACCUCCUUGAGAGGAUGGUAUCCCCGAGCCACUUAUCAUGCCAAAACCGAGUUUUAUCCCCUCGUCUCACCACAUGCUUGAUGUUUUCAAAGAACUCCUCUUGUACAACUUGGAUCCCGCGCCACAAACUGCACCCAUAAGGUUGAGACGUUUUCCUUGGUUUACCACUAUUGUCACUCUCACCAUACUUGGCCUCAAUGACUCUUCGCCAAAGUGCAGAUUUUUCCAAUCCAUAUCUCCAUAUCCAUUUUGCAAGCAGAACUUGAUUCAUGGUCUUCAAAUCCCGAAGGCCCAAGCCCCCCUCUUGCAUGGGGGAGCACACCGUGUCCCAAGCCACAAGGUGCAUUUUCUUCUUAUUUUCACUAGAUCCCCAGAUAAAAUUUCUUACUAUCCUCUCAAGUUUCUCAGCAAUGCUCAUGGGGAUAGUGAAGAGGGAUAGUUGAUAAAUAGCAAGGCCCGCCAAAGUACUUUUGGCAAGAAGUAGUCGAUCACCCUUAGACAUAAGUUUUCGCUUCCACCCACUCAGCUUCUUUUGAUACGACUCAACGACUGAGCUCCACACAUCCACAUUCUUGUACUGCGCCCCUAAAGGCAAUCCAAGAUACUUCCCUGGCAACUGGGCCACACCACACUAAAAAACCGAGCUAGGCUCUCAAUGUUGUGAACAUCCCCAAUCGCAUAAAUGGAUGACUUAGAGAGGUUAACUUUCAGUCCAGACACAACUUCAAAGCAAGUAAUCACUAGUCGAAUCACAGACAAAGCCUGAGUCGACGGUUCAGUGAAAAAAAGGGUGUCAUCUGCGAACUGUAGUACUCCAACCAUAACACCUCCAUUCCCAAUCUCAAAACCCCUCAGUAAACCAUCAUGCAUACAUUUCAGCGUGAAACGGGAAAAAGCUUCCAUAACCAGGAUAAACAAAAACGGGGACAGUGGGUCUCCCUGACGGAUACCUCGCUGGGCCUUAAAAUUCCCCUCUGGCGAACCUUCAAUGAUCACUGAGAAACGUGCUGUCGACACACAUGUAGGAAUCCAUUUCCUCCAUCUCAAGCCAAACCCCAUCCUGCUUAGCACAUAAUCAAGAAAAUUCCAAUUCACAUGAUCAUAAGCUUUAGUGAUAUCAAUCUUACACAAAAUCCCAGGAUCCCCUUGUCGUAAUCUUGCAUCAAUACUCUCAUUAGCAAUGAGUAUACUAUCCAGAAUUUGUCUAUCCCCAAGGAAAGCUCCCUGAGUAUCAGACACAAGAAACUGUAGCACUUGUUUAAUCCUUGAUGCGAGCAAUUUAGAGAUAAUCUUGUACACACCCCCAAUGAGACUAAUGGGUCGGUAGUGUCCAAUAGAUAGCACACCCUCCUUCUUCGGGAUCAACGUGAUAAAAUUAGUAUUCACACGCCAAUCAAGGAAUCCAGAAUUAUGGAACUCACGGACAAUGGACAUGAUAUCCUCCUUAAAGACACUCCAAAACACUUUGUAAAACACCAUGGGAAAACCGUCCGGGCCCGACGAUUUUUCCCCCUCCAUAUCAUGCAAAGCUUGGACCACUUCCUCAACUUCAAAGUCUCUUUCCAAAUCCUCCCUAUAUUGUGAUUCCAAGGAGUCAAAAAACAAACCAUCAAGCUUAGGUCUAUUUUUGAAGUCCUCCGUGUAAAGAUCGGUGUAAAAAUUCACAAUAUGCUCUCUAAUUCGAUCAUCAUCUCGAGACAAAGAACCAUCAAUGGAGAGACAAUCAAGACUGUUUGCUCUUCUACGCACAUUAGCCAUGAUGUGAAAGUAUUUGGAGUUAGAUUGCCCUUCUAGGUAGUACUUAGAGCAUGACUUUUGCCUCCAACUAAUUGCAUUCAACCGAAGCCAAUUUUAUGUGAAAGUAUUCCUAGUUUCUUGAAAUUUUUAUAUCAUGAAAUCAAAGAAAUACGUUGUCCUUGUUAAUGUGAGGGUAAUACAGUACGAUAUAUGCUUAUCAUGUGGGUAUGGUCUCUUGUUGUUAGCUACUAAUUAUGUUCAAGGCAUUAUGUGAGCCUUGGACAUGGUGUCUUGCUUUUUAUUUUUGGUUCAAGGGUGAUUAUAUACUUCUCUUUAUAUGAUAUAUACAAUAUCAUGUUUGGUUUGUAAAAUCUUUUGUUCCUAAAAAAUCUUCAUGUUAUCUCUUUGGCAUAUGCAAUAAUAGUUGUUUUCCUCCAUUAACAGUUUUCAAAUCAUUUUAUAUAUGUUUGGUAAAUUAAUUUUAAAAUUACAAACUCUACUCAACUCUUUGUAAAUUGUAGAGGGAUGAGAGGAACAAAAAAUAUUGUUAAAAAUAUUAUGUAUAUUAUUAUACAUAUAUAAUGUUAACAAUUUUUUGUGCUUAAAAAAAUUUGACCUUAGGAAUUAAAAUAAACCAAAAUUUGUUCGAUUUUAAGAAUAAAUCAAAAAUAUCAUUUGUAAUCCCAUUUCUUAUGUAAAAAAAAAAAAAAAAAUUACAACCCCUCCACUAAAAUAAUCGUGUCGUAAGCACGGGUUAUCACUAGUUUUUUAUAUAAUAGAUCUUUAUAGUAAAGAGAUCACAUCUACCAAAAAUCAUGCCAACCCAAUAUGUACAAUUACCCUAAAUAAGAUUUUGUGUCAAAAAUUUCCUGAGUCCCUAUAACCCCUCUUUUUUUUAUUUUUUCUUUUUUUUUGGUAAUAGAUUAGGAUGAUAAUAAACAAAAUAUUUGUAAAACCCGGUUUAUAUUAUAAAUUUUUGUUCGUUAAAUUUUAUUGGAUUAUGAAAUAUUGCAUAGAUGUCUUUAAGGGUUUAGAGUUAAUUUUCUAUUAAGUUGAAGGAUGAUAUAUUAAUUAUUAAAAAAAAGAAAUAGAUGGAAUUGGGUUGGGUAACAGAUUCAUUUAUGGUCCUAAAAUAAAGCCCAUUAACUUCUCCAUAUUAUUUAUAUUAAAAUCUUAGGGUUUUCAUUCAUUUUUUUAUAACACCAUAUUUGGGAGAAGAAGAAGAAUUGGAAGAAAGCUAGUAGAAGAUUUGGAUUUUUAUGCUUAUACAAGUGAGUAGACGUUUUUGUUUCUAUUUCUGUUUUCUGUGAUUUCAGAUUUUUUACUCAUCUUUGAAAAAUCAUAGAAAAUUCGUUUGAAAAGAUUUUAAUUUGAUUCCAAAAACCCUGAACACUAUAUUGAAAUGUCUUCAUUCGAUUAGUUAAGACCAAUUUACGAAAGUUAUUUUAAUUUGGUGAAAAACGACUUGCAAGUAUGACAACCGUUGCAGUUUUUGGUUUCUGUACCGUUUUAGUAUCGCAAGGUUUUGAUCCUUCUAGACUUAAUAAUAUUUAUUGAAAAUUUUAUGGUAGUUAUAAUACUCAAGGUAUAACACCAUAUAUAAAUUUCGGAAUUUACUGUUAGGUAAUUAAUUCUAAAUAAUUUAUUCAACGUAGUUAUAUUCAGAUAUCCAGUAUAAUUUUACUGCUACCUUUCUGUUUGCGUGGAUAUCAUAGAAAAAUCAUAAAAGACUCGUUACUCAACAUAUCUUGAUGAAUUUACUUGUUUUAGAAAAUAGACAUUAUGAACUAUAAUAUCUAUGUUUAGAAAUACUUUAAAUUAUGAGGCUAAUAUGGUGAAAAAUGCUCAGGAAGUCUGACGUAGAUUGUUUUAGGAUUUCUUUCUGAAAUCUGGUCGGAUGGAGUAAAACAAUUGUUUAAUUAUUUUUUUUAUAUCGAAACGAUUCCAUAUUUUUAUUCCAAGUAAUAUGUUCAUAGUAAAAGGUUGUAUUAAAAAUUUAUGAGAUUUGAGUAAUUAUUUUUAGAUGUGUGAAUUUUGAAAGAUGAAUGUUAUUGUUUGGCAGAUUUAUGUAAAGAGUUUCUUUUUAGCAUAUAUGUUUUCUUUUGGAUUUGUCCUUUUGUUUGAUUGUCAAGUUGAAAUAGUCAUGUACUAAAAGUAUUCUUAAUAUUGAAGUGGAUUAGUAUAUAAUGGCAUGUGACUUGAUUAAUUAUGUUUAAAGUAACCUGGAAAGUUAUAUUGAUGAACGCCUAGAAAUGGCUCCAUACCAAUGGAUGGUAUAUGAAUAGAAACGAAAUGAAUACUGAACUGUGGAUUUAAUUAUGGAAUGAUUCGGAAUGGUUUGAUACCAUGGACGGUAUAUAUUCAAUUUGGGAAAUAAGAACGGAAUACGAAAUGGACUUGGAAUUUAAUUGUUUGACAAGGGUUGUGUGAUUGCUUAAGUAGUUUAGUUGUUUUGGUAGUCGCCCAAGCAUUAGUACAUUUGCCGCACCUCUGGAAUUAGGUUAAAGAAAUUAAUUAUCACCCUAGACGGCUUAGCCUGCGGGUUGACUCUUGGAUUAUAUUUGGGUAUUUCCUAGACGGCUUAGCCUGCGGAACUGACCCUUCAGACCUUCAUAGCCUUCGGGGUUGGUCUGGGCGCCACAUUAGAAAGCUCAAGGGAGCUAUUAGAGAUCAUGAGUUAGGCAUACGUCGAGGCUAGCCAAAGCUUGCAGGUGAGCACCCACUUGGGUUUUGGUUUCCGCGUAGAGGUUCUUAACCAUGGUCAAGGCACACUGGUGCAGUGUGGGUAUGGCAAAUGUGUGGAGUGCAUCCUGUGGGAGGUGUACUAGUGAUUGGGCAUAGGUUGUGAUUUUAUGAUUAUUAAACCCGAGCACAGGCUAGAGGCCAGAACGAGGUUUUGUGAUUUUGGAUUCGUUGUUUGGUAGUGUGCUAAAGCUUAUGGUAUUGUAGUGCUUGGUGUUAAUUAAUGAUAUGGGUAAAUUUUAUAUACUUUGAUUAUGAACUGGAGGUGACUAUGAUUAUGUGGAAGGAUUGUGAUGUUUAAUUUAUUAUGGGAAUUAAUAGUAAUAAUUGGACUUGUCAUUUUGGUAGAUUAUAAACUAUGAAUAGUUGGAAUGAAUCAUUAUUAAUGGUUUGAAUGAACGAAAUGUAUUUUUAGGUUGAUACAAAGUAUUAGAUAACACGUAACGUGUAUGUGAUUUGGUUUACCUUUAUUAUAUUUAUGUAUUAUAUAUUAACUCCAUUUUGCAGGUGGAUAGGUCAACUAAUUUAUUUUGUGCAGGUGGAUAGACUUAUCCUUAAAGACAGUUGCUGCUUAGGUAAUGUAUUUGUAUUAUCGAUCAAUUAACAUCGUAAAUAGAUAAAUUAGAAUUGAAUAAUGAAGUUAAGCAUGUGAUUAUAUAAUGGAUAAAUUGUUUAAAUAUAAUGGAAUUGAUAUGGUUUUUGGCGUAUGUUUAUUGUCUAACAUGGACGAAUUGUUCUUGAAGGUUAAUUAUGUUGUUAAUUAUAUGUUGGAACUUCAUAUUUAUUAUGUUAUUUUGUGGGAAUAGAUUUCCCCGUUGUUUACUCAUACCGGCUUUUAUGCUGACCCAUGUUGCUUUGUUUUGCACGUGGGUGUGUUCCAUUUGGAAUGCAGGCAGGAGAGGUUAGAGCUAUGGAGCUAUGACAGAUCGCUUGUUGGGACCAGUAGAGAUCUUUAGAUGUUUCAGUCAUGUAUUUUUUUGAAAGUGGUAUUCAUGUAUUUUGUUGGUGUAAGUUGUGUUGUAUAAUAGGAUGGAAUCAGGAGUACUUUUAUCGUUUGGAUUUUUCUUCACUGUAUUUUAUUUAAGAUUUUUGUUGUACCUGGUUUUUGAGUUGGAAAUUGUUGCGGCAUGGGUUUAUUUUAUAUUUUUUUUAAAUUCGGGUCGUGACAAUAUUUCCAAAAUAUGUGCAGAUAAAAAUGGAUAGAGGGCUCUACAAGUAGGGGUGUUAAACGAGCCGAACGAGCCGAGCUUUGUAUGUUCAAGCUCGGUUCGUUUAUAAACGAGCCGAGCUCGAGCUCGAGCCCAAAUUUCAUACGAGCUUUAUUUUAUGUUCAAGCUCCGCUCGUUUAGCUAUACGAACGAGCUCGAGCCGAGCUCGAGCUACUAGAUUAAAUUACACAUAAAAGUAGGUUUUUGUCUAAACGAGCCGAGCUUUGGUAUGUUCGAGCUCGGUUCGUUUAUAAACGAGUCGGGCCCGAGCCGAGCCCAAAUUUUAUACAAGCUUUACUUUAUGUUCAAGCUCGGCUCGUUUAGCUAUACGAACAAGCUCGAGCCGAGGUUUUAACGAGACGAGCCCGAGCCGAGCUCGAGCUGUUCAGUUCGUUUAACAGCCCUAUCUACAAGUCAGACAUGUAAUAUAAUUGCAUGUGCAUGCACAUAUGCAACUCGGUCUACAGUGUGUUGCUUCUUAGCAACAUGCAUGUGUGGACUCUACGUUUGUAGUUGCCUCCAUAUUGGCCAAACCAACCAAUAUCAAAAUGUCAACGUUCAUUCAUUCAAUUCUUUCAAGCUUCUUUCUCAUUCCUGCAAUGGAAUAUCGUUUACUUUUUCUCCUCCUUCUACUACUAUCCAUCUCUGCUUUUCUUCAACUAAAACCAUUAACUGCAACAACAACAACUCAAACUACUUCUUCUUCUUCACCUUAUCUCUCUUCAUCACUCUUCUUACCUAACUACCAAAAAAUGCUACAAAACUUCAAGAUCUAUAUCUACAAUGAUAUUAACAAUCAAACAACCUUCCCUUCCAAUAUUGAAUCACUUUUCCACACUUCUCUUCUUGAAAGCUCUUUUAUAACAAAAAACCCCAAUGAAGCUCAUUUCUUCUACUUAUAUUUUUCUCCUAGCUCUUCGUACAAAUCUAUUUCAGGUAAGAUUAAAGAUUUACAGAUUCAAUAUCCUUUUUGGAAUAGAACACUUGGUGCUGAUCAUUUUUAUCUUUCAUGUAACGGUAUUGGGUAUGAGUCAGAUCGGAAUAUAGUUGAGUUAAAGAAGAACUCAGUUCAAAUCUCAUGUUUUUCUCCUAUGAAAAAUGAUGAAAGUCAUCGUUUUAUUCCUCAUAAAGAUCUCUCUUUACCUCCUAUGAUAGCCAUAGAUCUUCAAAUGGAUACUGUCAACAUAGUACCAAUCUCGAAGAAGAAAUAUUUCGGUUAUUUCAACAACCGAGAUAUAGAUAAUCUUGAUCCUGUUAUUGAUUUUAUCGAGGAAUUGAGAAAUGAUCCUGAUUUUAUGACUGACACUGAACCGUAUGAUUAUGAUUGGGUUUCAAAUAUUAAGUUUUGUUUGUUUUUCUUCACUGAUAAAUUUGUUUCAAUUUCGGGUUUUGAAAAAGCAUUACGCUAUGGAUGUGUGCCGGUGGUGAUUACUGACCGUUCGAUUGUUAAUUUGCCGUUUGUUGAUGUGUUGAAAUGGACGGAGAUUGCUGUGUUUGUUGAUAUAAAGGGUGGACUUAAGAAUUUGCAGAAAGUGGUAGGUCACAGGUGCGAAGGAGAGAAGUAUGAGAAGAUGAGAGAGUUGGGGAUGAAGGCCAGUAAGCAUUUUGUUUGGAACCAUUUAAGUCCACAGCCACAUGAUGCCUUCUAUAGUGUAUUGUAUCAGUUAUGGUUGAGGAGACAUACAAUUCGAUACACAAGAAGAGAGAUUAUCUAGAGAAAUAUGUAUCCCUUCAUAUAUAUAAAAGUACUGUAUUUCUUUGCCUAGUGAUAUAUCUCCACAAUUGGCAACAAGGUUUCAGAAGUAUCCACAUACAAUAGGAAAUUAUAUAUACACCAUGCUUUUAAUAAAGUUCCGAGUGAAAAUGCACAAAAAUGCAGAUGAUGUCAAAAGAAGUCGCAAAAUUUCUUACAGAAAUAUUCAAAGUUACACUACAACAACGCCUCUCGCCUCAAAAAUUUACUCUACCCAGGGUCAAAAGAAUAACUUCCAUACGAACUCUGGAAUUAAAAAUUACAAACAUCACAUAUUAAGUGUUGAGUGUGAGGACCCUGGGUAGCACACCAUCUAGUUAGUAAGAAAAAAUCUAAGAUUAUCUGCUACAGAUUUAACAUGGAAUCGAAUGUCAUUCAGGUAUUAUUGGUUUGGUUCGCCCCACCUUGAGGACCAGCUCUUCCACUUCCAUUCUGAUUAACCCGCUGAUAGCCCCCCUCUCCACCGCGUCCAGAAGGACCUUGCCCUCUUCCUGAAAACUCACCUCUGUUUCCAAAGUUAUUUCUUCCAUAUCCUCGGCCACCUCCAAAAUUGCCACGAGCACGGACAUUAUCGUUCCUGAAACCACCUCUGCUUGGAGAAAAACGUGAUCUUCCACCACCACCUGUAAGGAACAGAAGCACAUCAGCUAUAUAGUAUGGAUCUCUCAAACCUAGCUUCUAAUUCAAGCACAGAUGGGUAAUACAAAGCUUAAGGUAUUUGAAAAUGUAUUUUAAGAAAGGAAAUAUCUUUUCUCUAUCCCAGUUAGAUACUCCUCUACUCACAUUUCAGCAAAGGUCAAUUUCAAUCAGUAUUUCCACUGUUUUUCCGCUGUUCAAUAGUGUCUUU
rnacentral:lncRNA from 1 species